rnacentral:rRNA from 1 species
GGAUGCGAUCAUACCAGCACUAAAGCACCGGAUCCCAUCAGAACUCCACAGUUAAGCGUGCUUGGGCGAGAGUAGUACUAGGAUGGGUGACCUACUGGGAAGUCCUCGUGUUGCAUUCC